rnacentral:rRNA from 1 species
GUGCUUAACACAUGCAAGUCGAACGGUAAGGCCCUUUCGGGGGUACACGAGUGGCGAACGGGUGAGUAACACGUGGGUGAUCUGCCCUGCACUUCGGGAUAAGCUUGGGAAACUGGGUCUAAUACCGGAUAGGACUACGGCCUGCAUGGGUUGUGGUGGAAAGCUUUUGCGGUGUGGGAUGGGCCCGCGGCCUAUCAGCUUGUUGGUGGGGUGAUGGCCUACCAAGGCGACGACGGGUAGCCGGCCUGAGAGGGUGUCCGGCCACACUGGGACUGAGAUACGGCCCAGACUCCUACGGGAGGCAGCAGUGGGGAAUAUUGCACAAUGGGCGCAAGCCUGAUGCAGCGACGCCGCGUGGGGGAUGACGGCCUUCGGGUUGUAAACCUCUUUCACCAUCGGCGAAGCCGGGAGCUUUUGUUUUCGGUGACGGUAGGUGGAGAAGAAGCACCGGCCAACUACGUGCCAGCAGCCGCGGUAAU